GUUGCUUCUCAGCCUUUUGACUAAGAUCAAGUGUAGUAUUUAUUCUCAUCAGUUUAAUAUCUGAUAUGUCCUCUAUCUGCAGACAAUAUAUUAAAUAAAUUUUUGGAACAGGGAUAUGAAAUCUGUUUACAUUCCUACAUGGAAAGAUGAUAUUUGUAACUCAUGAGACCUUU
rnacentral:snRNA from 1 species